AUGCAGCGCCUCCGCGCCCCAGAGGCUGGCGGUGGGGCCAGCGAUGGGGAUCCUGAAGGUCAAGACCAGGAGGCAAGAGAGGAGGGUGUGGAUGUAAGUGGAGAAGGAGUCACUCCCAAGAGCAUCAACAGUGUCUCCCACAAAGUGACUGUAGAGAACAGGCCCGAAGAGGAUGAGCGGGAAGAAAGAAAAGAAAGUGAGGUCGUCACCAAAUCAGGAGAUGUGAAGAAGGUUGCUGGAGUGAUCUCAGCCAGCCCUGUAGUGGGCGUUUGCCCAGCAUCCACAGCAGAACUUCUUUGUGAACCAAAUGCCCUGGCCAGAGCAACAGGGCAGGAGCCAGGUAAUGGGAAAGAAAGUCUGAAGAAGAAAGGAGAUGGUGGUGCAAAGAAAACGGCAACAAAUUUAGGCCAAGAUAAAACUCCAUCAGAGAAGAAAGCAGCUUUGAACCCUGACCCCAUGAAGAUUCCUGACAGCAGAGGGACUAAAGUGAUUGUCUUGGAGCAAGAGGUUUCCGGGAUCGAGGAGAAGAAGACAGCAAGCUUUUCUGAAACAGGAGGUCGGCGGAAGAUGGCAGCGGUGCUCUCUCACUCGGUGGAUCACAGUGGAGGGUCUGCCGCACCUGCAACAGCACCCUCUGCAUCUCAUGAUAAGUUAAUGCAGCAACACGAGAGGAAAGGCCAGAGAGGCCAGGACACUGUCCCUAGCAGUUGGUGUCAAACUCAGCUUCCUGAGGCCGUUGCAGAGAAGACAGCAGAGAGAGGAGGGGUCGGAGAUGUGAGCCCAAGGGUCAGAGGUGGAGAGAUGGAAGGAACAGGGAAAAGCAACUCCGAAUUCGGCAUUCCUAAGGGGAAGCAGGGAGGUAUGGAUUAUGGAGUGAGUGGAUCUUCAAGUCCUGGUCAAAAAAAGACCAUGUCAUUUCAGGAGGAAAGAGAAGCAGGUGUUCCAGGAUUUGGAGCUCAUUAUUGUCCUACUUACUCACCUAGUGGGGGUACGGUUUUCAGCAGUUUGGGGGCAAGUAGUAGCUCCGACUGGAUGAUGGAUAGCGUGAUAGAACAGAUAGAACGGCAAAUGGCAGCUGUUCUGGAGAAGAUAGAAGGAGACAUGCCAUCCUUGCUGGAACAGAUAAGUGACUGUCCCGAGACGAAACCGAAGAGCUCUCACUCUUCCCCUUUGGGUCGACCUCGCACCCGCCACCAAUCUUCGCCCCCACCCCUUCCCACCAGCCCUCGUCCACCUCUUCCCACUCUCCCACACCUUGACAUUCAGCCUCCAACCUACCCACCUCCCCCACCGCCUACCUUUAUCCACACGUACACCCAGUCAGUCCCCAUGCAGGAUGACAGGGAUGGGCAAAGGGCUGAAACCAGGUCUGGCCAGUCCCCAAGAGGGGGUGUGGCAGGGAGAGGGCUCUGA
rnacentral:lncRNA from 1 species